GACGAACGCUGGCGGCGUGCUUAACACAUGCAAGUCGAACGGAAAGGCCCUGCUUUUGUGGGGUGCUCGAGUGGCGAACGGGUGAGUAACACGUGAGUAACCUGCCCUUGACUUUGGUAUAACUUCAGGAAACGGGGGCUAAUACCGUAUAGGAGCUCCUGCUGCAUGGUGGGGGUUGGAAAGUUUCGGCGGUUGGGGAUGGACUCGCGGCUGAUUAGCUUGUUGGUGGGGUAGUGGCUUACCAAGGCGUCGACGGGUAGCUGGCCUGAGAGGGUGACCGGCCACACUGGAACUGAGACACGGUCCAGACUCCUACGGGAGGCAGCAGUGGGGAAUAGUGGACAAUGGGCGCAAGCCUGACCCAGCCAUCGCGCGUGGGUGAAGAAGGCCUUCGGGUUGUAAAGCCCUUUUGUUGGGAAAGAAAAGCAGCAGGUUAAUACCCCGCUGUUCUGACGGUACCCAAAGAAUAAGCACCGGCUAACUUCGUG
rnacentral:rRNA from 1 species